GCCCAGGUGGGGAUCGGGAUCGUCUUCUGGUACGAGACAUCGCCCGGUCAUCACACCUCGAGCAUCCUCCGUGUUGUCCAGACACGUCCUACGUUCUCCAACGUCGUUUCGUCCGCUUUCGUCCCAUCUCGCGAUACCGGUAUUGGUCCCGGGCCAAUCGCGUUAUCUCAUUAAGAAUCAUCGAAAAAAGUGGUCGAUCCGAGUUCACGCCCGUUGAGUAAGAAGAUAAUUUGUAAAUUUACAAUCACAGCCGAACAGGAAACAUCCUGCAGUCGCUGGCUUCAAUCAGAAUCGAGUAGAAAAUAAUAACUUAGGAACUGGAAUCAAGUAGAGGGCAACUUGACGGAUUUUAAGACAGACCGAAGUCAAGUAGACAGGUGAAACCGAUAAGGUCACGAGUUGCAUUCGAACGAAAGGCAACUCGACAAGUAGCCGUUCAUCAAUGUUAUCAAUCAACAUGCGUGUAUUUAAGACUGUACUACUCAUCGUGUUCUUUGCAAGCGUUCAGUGUUUACCCGUCACCGACAAGCCGAUCGAGUCCGAGACUAAUUCCAAGAUCGAGUCUGAGAUCAAGGAUGAAAUCAUAUCGAUGAUACCGCAGGAGACAGCUGUAACCUUCGCUGCACCGACGUCCACGCUCUCCGAUGCCAUCGAUUACUACGACCAACGGCAGAACGGGACCGAAAACUAUCGCAUCCACUUAGACGGCCUUGUAUUCGUAUUUGCACCGGUUGAAGCACUGCUCCUGGCCGGCGCCACCGCUGGCAACUCGGAGCAUAAUUUAUCAACUUCCAGUCAGAAGGUAUCCACUCCGCCGACGAUCCAGUCCAUCAACGAACUAGACAAACCCAUCAUUGAUAGCCUUCCCAAUAAAACCGAUUUGGCGAUCUCGAAGACACUAAACAAACCAGCUGUACGGUUGGUGAAUUUCUUGGCGCCCUUGAUACGUCGCAUACGUCAUGUGCGAGGCACGAGCGUGCACUAAAACGAUUCCUCGAUGCUUGCAUUCCAAUACGUAAUGUUCCGUCUACAGUAUAUAUUAAGAAAACGGGAUAGGAUAUCUGCAUCUACAGGGAUGAUGGACGAAUACUCGUAGAAUAUAACGUGUAUGAUUGACGACCGAAUCGAUGUCGUACCACGCAUUUAUAUGGUGUCUAGUAUUAAUAAAGGGACGCGCUAAUAUUAGCGUUAUCCUCGAGCUCAUUUCUCUGUAACUUAAAAGAUGGAACUUUUAAAUGAAAAUACAUGAAAUUACAGGAAUGGCGAUUUCAUUCACCUUAUCCGUACAAUGUAACGGGCGGUUAUGAUUCAGUAACCACAUAUGUAUUUACAUGUUAAACAAGCUAAAUGUAAUAUUCGUUUUGCCAUAAUUCCGUUUUGAUUUAGCGUCACAGUACACAAAUUACUAUUCAUUUACUUAUAAACCAAUCGUAAUUGUUAGUGACGAUUUUUGACAAUUGGAAAUUUUUUACAUGCACUUACAUGAUAUAAUCUGCUUUAAUUAUGUGUAAAGU